GAUGAACGCUGGCGGCGUGCCUAAUACAUGCAAGUCGAGCGAACAGAUGAGAAGCUUGCUUCUCUGAUGUUAGCGGCGGACGGGUGAGUAACACGUGGGCAACCUGCCUCAUAGAGGGGAAUAGCCUUCCGAAAGGGAGAUUAAUACCGCAUAAGAUUGUAGUACCGCAUGGUACAGCAAUUAAAGGAGCAAUCCGCUAUGAGAUGGGCCCGCGGCGCAUUAGCUAGUUGGUGAGGUAACGGCUCACCAAGGCGACGAUGCGUAGCCGACCUGAGAGGGUGAUCGGCCACAUUGGGACUGAGACGCGGCCCAGACUCCUACGGGAGGCGGCAGUGGGGAAUAUUGCACAAUGGGGGAAACCCUGAUGCAGCAACGCCGCGUGAGUGAUGACGGCCUUCGGGUUGUAAAGCUCUGUCUUCAGGGACGAUAAUGACGGUACCUGAGGAGGAAGCCACGGCUAACUACGUGCCAGCAGCCGCCGUAA
rnacentral:rRNA from 1 species